AUUUGCUAUCUGCUGUUUGCAUGGCCCAAUAAGAGUUUUGUUGGCCAAGCUAUACAAGCCUAGAGCAAGGCACCAGCCUAAUAGCACACUACUCAAGGAAAUCUCACCCUCAAAAGGAAAGACUUAACUGUUUGAGGUAUUUCUGAAUGCAGGUUCAAGCGCGACAGUGCAGGGCCAAGUAUCAACUGUGCAAUUGAACGUCUGUCUAGACUGUGAAAACUCUUCCGGGGUCCUUGUUUGUAGCAGUACUCCAAAAGCGGAAUUUAAGCUUCAACUCUUAGUAGUAGAUCUACUAACUUCUAUCAGCGUGCACUUAAAGGAGCAGGCUUGUUCACUGGAUAGCAUCAUGUGUGUGCGUGUCUUCUACAAACAAUCAUUGACUGGCAAUGGGCAGUUGUUCAGCGCACUGACAGGAGAAUUUGAUAAACUGUUGCCAGCGACUCCUGCCACAUGUCUGGUACCCGUACUCUCUCUAGCAGAAUCCUGUGCAAUUACAGCUGUGGUGUUCCUCCAGAGGUAGCACAUCGGAUACUGGCAGACAUUGCACCUCAGCACUCCAACGACAGACGGCGACGCAGGAACCAUUUAUCAUGCUGUAGGGAUUGGUUCCAUUCUGCCACUUUGGAUUCUACUUGAUCCUUGAAAUUUUGAUCCAAAAAAAAAGCCAGGAGUUGAAUCCUGCCAAAUCUUAUGAAUUCAUGUAUAGUUAUGAAGUUGGAGCUGAGCGUUAUCUUGUGGACUGCAUUUGAAUUGUCACUUAACACAGACACCUGCAGCAAGCCCAUCGACCGUGGGCUUUCCAUGUAGUCUCCUUUCUGUUAUUUUACACUUGUAAUUUAUUUAAAAUAUGCAGAACUAUUGAACCACUUAAGAUGAGAAUAUUUUGUCCAAAUGCAUGUAUUUUGACUUAUGAAAAACAGGGAUUCAGUGGCCAAAUUUUGAUAUACUGUUGAACGGCACAAAUUUUGGCUUGUUGGAAUCAUUCGAGCAGUAUUUUGCAGCACUCUUGGGUACUGCCACUGAGUGAUAUUUCCUUUAAUGUACCGUGUACAUCGGACAGGUUCAAUACAUGGUCCCCCUUCUAAGACCUCUCAGAGUGUGUGUGGAGAAACGAAGAAGAGACUAGCUGUGACUUUGGGUGCACAUGGCGGUUUAUACUCUCAUCAGCCAUCCUCACAAAGGCAGACUACCAGAUCAAGUGAACAUGUCCCCUGUUGCCAUGUUCAAUCUGGUGAACUCAAAAACAUUUUUCAAUUUACCGGUAGUUCACUGCCGAGUGUGCCUUCAUCUGUAAAUGCCUAUAGGAACCACUAAUUAAAUUUGUCUCGUUUUUCUAACAGUGUGCACAAAAGGUCCAUUCAUACCUGUCUCAGCAGAACAAAAGCAGAUUGUCCACUGUCUGUGGUGGUUUAUACGUAAAGCAUGUUUCCUGUGUCAGAAUUAGACAGUGUCCGAAACAGGUGUUGUCAGCAUGAUUGACAUAUUUUCCAAUGGUCAAAAACCUAGCUCUGGGCAACAGUUUCAGAGGUAGCCUGAAACAUCAGUUUUCAUAAACAGCUUUUCAGGAUCCCUUCUCAGCUUGAUUCAACAACUUAUCCUCUACUGGCUGUUCAAAUCUCUACCCCUCCUCUCCCCUCCCAUUUACAAUGGAUGGCAGAAACAUAGAACAACUAAAUGAACCGGCAAGUUUGACGCUGGGAUGUUUCAACUGUCCCAAAUACUUUUUAUUUCAUCGACUAGUGUUGAAAAAAAAUUAGCCACAUUGAAGCAGGGGAAUUGUACACGAUAAAUAAUGCCCCGAGACAGGCCACAAGAAAGAAUAAUCCAUGAACUGAAGCAGGUGGUAUCUACAUAUUCUGUACUAAACACUAGAUCCAUGUGUGAACAGAAAAUAAAUGAGCACUGAAAAAGGACUGAUGUCAUUUUGCACUUGAAGUGGCAGCCA